rnacentral:rRNA from 1 species
UCCCGUAUCGAUGAAGAACGCAGCGAAAUGCGAUACGUAGUGUGAAUUGCAGAAUUCCGUGAACCAUCGAAUCUUUGAACGCAAAUUGCGCCCGAGGCUUCGGCCGAGGGCAUGUCUGCCUCAGCGUCGGCUUACCCCCUCGCCUCCCCUUCACUGGGUGAGUGCGGAUCUGGCCCUCCCGGCUCCGACUGAACUUGUUCAGCCAUCCGGGUCGGCUGAAGUGCAGAGGCUUGAGCAUGGACCCCGUUUGCAGGGCAAUGGCUUGGUAGGUAGCUUUGCUACGCAGCCUGCCGUCGCCCGAGGGGCCUUUGCUGGCGGCCCAGCAGGAACCGGGGCGUUAAACCCCCGGCGUCUCACACUUUCGACCUGAGCUCAGGCAAGAUUACCCGCUGAACUUAAGCAUAUCAAUAAGCGGAGGAAAAGAAACUAACUAGGAUGCCCUUAGUAACGGCGAGCGAACCGGGCAAAGCCCAACUUGAAAAUCUCCAGCCUCCGGCUGGCGAAUUGUAGUCUAGAGAAGCGCUCUCUGCGCCAGUCCGGCCCCAAGUCCCCUGGAAAGGGGCGUCAGAGAGGGUGAGAACCCCGUUGGGACCGGAUCCUGGUGCUCCACGAGACGCUUUCGCAGAGUCGGGUUGUUUGGGAAUGCAGCCCAAAGCAGGUGGUAAAUCCCAUCUAAGGCUAAAUACAGACGGGAGACCBGAUAGCGAACAAGUACCGUG